AGUGAACGCUGGCGGUAGGCCUAACACAUGCAAGUCGAACGGCAGCACAGUAAGAGCUUGCUCUUACGGGUGGCGAGUGGCGGACGGGUGAGGAAUACAUCGGAAUCUACUUUUUGGUGGGGGAUAACGUAGGGAAACUUACGCUAAUACCGCAUACGACCUACGGGUGAAAGCAGGGGAUCUUCGGACCUUGCGCGAUUGAAUGAGCCGAUGUCGGAUUAGCUAGUUGGCGGGGUAAAGGCCCACCAAGGCGACGAUCCGUAGCUGGUCUGAGAGGAUGAUCAGCCACACUGGAACUGAGACACGGUCCAGACUCCUACGGGAGGCAGCAGUGGGGAAUAUUGGACAAUGGGCGCAAGCCUGAUCCAGCCAUACCGCGUGGGUGAAGAAGGCCUUCGGGUUGUAAAGCCCUUUUGUUGGGAAAGAAAAGCAGCAGGUUAAUACCCCGCUGUUCUGACGGUACCCAAAGAAUAAGCACCGGCUAACUUCGUG
rnacentral:rRNA from 1 species